CACGGCCCGCCUUUCUCCGUCGGCCCUGUCCAAUCACAGCCGCCCUUUCAAACCGGAAGCGGUCCCGCCAAUCUCAGCCCGCUCAGUCGCGGCUGGACCCCUCAGACUGGCCCCGCUCGCCCGUACGUCUGAGGCGCCGCUCCCGCCACCGCCGCUUUGGGAGCCGGCGGAGCAGCGUCCCCGCUGCCGCUGCCUCGGCAGGAGCUGUUGCGGACGGGAAGGGCGGCCGGGAGCUUCCAGUUCAGGUCCUGGUGGGGAUCAGGUUCUGGUCCAGGGAAACGGGCAGGCGGCGGGGAGCGGACGGACGCGGCCACUGCAAUGGCGGCGGCGGGAGCAGCGCUUGAGGGGACCGCGGGGAGUCGCGGGGCCGAGCGCGGCGGGAAUGGGCGGGCUGGGAUUGGUGGAGCCGGCAGGCGCUGCCUCGGGUUGUGAUUGGCUGGCUGUCCGCCCGCGGGGCAUAAAUAGCGUGCGUUGGGGCGGUAAUGGCGUCAGUUGGGCGGUGAAGCGGGGAGCGACGGGAGCUGCGGAUGCGCGAUCCGAGGAGCGGCGCUGCGCCAGGACGGGCCCCCCGCGGCAGCUGAUCCGGGGAGCGCCGCCCCAAGGUGCAGUGAAAAGCAUGAGCAGCUUUUAGCUGCAGCCAGUAGGAAGCUGAGGAGCUGGAGCUGAGGCAGCAGAGCUGGAGGAGACAGAAAUAUGGGUACUCAGAAAAUACGUCUCCCUUAGAGUCCCACAGAAAGGUUCUCAGUGCGAUCUCUAUCAAGGCAAUUCUGAAGCGCUGAGCAGAGAUCUGCCCCCGGGAGGCAGAGCAGAGCCGAUCUGUGAGAGCUGACACGGGAGCUGUGGUGAGGACAGCUGCUCCCCUGCCUCGGUGUGGGACCUGCUGAGCUGCCGUUCCUGUGCUGGGAGUGUUUCUCCUCUCAU